AGCUUCCAAUGCCAUUCUCUCAUUCUCCCAUGGCAAGUUAAUUUUCUUUCAUUUUCUUUUCUUGUUUUCUUUUCUUUUCAUUUCCUUUCUCUUCUUGCUUCCUUCUUCUCCCAACUUCUUGUGCACCAAAGUUACAACUUCUAACCCCAAUUUUCAGCACAUAUAAACCCUAGGAGAAGAAGAAAGAAAAAGAGAGAAAGGAAGAAAAGAACUUGGUUUUGUAAUUCAAGUAAACUAAGCUAUGGUGGCCAUGGAUGUGAGGGAAUUAUGAAUUUUGUUGGGUAAAAUCCAAGCUAAAACCAAGUGGAAAUCCAAAAGGUAAAGUUAAAGUACUGUGGUGGCAUGCCGGAGGAAAUAAAGAACGAUUGGCAAGUACGAAUAGCUAGAUACGCCUUCAAACAAAUAACGAUGUAAUAUUCUGCUAUCGUAAGGUUUCCUGAGUUAAAGGUGAUUGGAUCCUAGGAUGAGGUGCUACUUCCUAUCCAUUGCUCGGUAGAUUUACCAUGACAUUAGAUGUUAGUAACCGUGCCUAGAGUCACUCCGCUGACGGUCAAGGUCCAAUUAUAUGUAUAUGAAUACUUGAUGUGAAAUGUUAAGAUUCAUUUAUUAAUCUAUAUAUGUAUAUAAUGGUUAAUGAUGUUAUUAUGAAUGCAUGAUUGGGUUUUGUG